GAAUGAAACCAGAAAAGAAAAGAAGAAAAGAAAGAAGAGGAGAGGAAGGAGAAUAAAGAGAAGAGAAGGAAAGAAGAGAGGAAGAAGAGAUCAAGAGAGAGUUGAGUUUCUUGAGGCAGCAAUUGGAGAUUUCUGCAACCAGAUGCUGAGGCAGGAUGAAACUCUGGCAGUGGAUGUGAGAUUUGUAUCUACGAGAUACCAGGAUGCUGUUGGACAUCACUUCAGUGUUUUGGUCAUUACUUUUAAUGUAAAUAUUGAUGAAACAUGUAAGAUGUAAACAUUACACAUGUGGAUUUUUAACAAAUGAAUCUUGUAUAUUUGUAAUUUAUCACUUUAGUGCAUCACUAGUGAUAAUUGUAUGAUUUAUUUUAGCA